UAGGGCACGCUGGUUACUAGCAACUUGACGUCGGUGCUGUUUGAUGAAUCUGAGUGGGAGACACCGCAUUCUUUUAACCCAAAUCACUUCCUAGAUGCUGAGGGCAAAUUCAGGAGAAGAGAUGCAUUUUUGUCUUUUUCAAUAGGAAAGAGAGUUUGUCUUGGUGAGCAGCUGGCAAGGAUGGAACUCUUUCUCUUUUUUUCCUCUCUGCUUCAGCGUUUCACGUUGUCUGCACCUGCAGGUGUGGAGCCCAGCUUGGAUUUUAAACUGGGAGCCACACACUGUCCUCAGCCAUACAAAUUAUGUGCAGUGCCACGUUAAAUAAUACACACAAAUAAAUGUUAAUGGUUUGCUUAUGGUACGUAUUUAGUAAGUACAAAUUAUGGGAGCAGUAAUUUUUAGUAUUUAAUAUUUUAAGUGUACAUCUGUGUUUGUUUAAAGUGAACACACGUUUGUUCUGUGUUGGUUGAUGGAUAAUUACUCAUUUUGUUCUAAACUGUUUCACUAUUUAUUAAAAUAGUACUUCAAUACGCAUACAUACAAUACAAAUCAACCUAAGAUUCAUUUUUAUUUAUCUGUAAAAGUACCUUGGAAAUGGUUUGUUUUUUAUAACAGAAGUCCGUGCAGUGUAGUCACACACCCCUGUUUCUAUGCACAGGUGGUCAUUUUCACUGACUGUACGUGAUCAUGCAAUGACAUUAAAAUUGGGCAUUAUA